AGAGUUUGAUCAUGGCUCAGAUUGAACGCUGGCGGAAUGCUUUACACAUGCAAGUCGAACGAUGAACUUUAGCUUGCUAAGGGGAUUAGUGGCGAACGGGUGAGUAAUAUAUCGGAACGUGCCUUGUAAUGGGGGAUAACUAGUCGAAAGAUUAGCUAAUACCGCAUACGCCCUGAGGGGGAAGGUAGGGGAUCUUCGGACCUUACGUUAUAAGAGCGGCCGAUAUCUGAUUAGCUAGUUGGUGGGGUAAUGGCCUACCAAGGCGACGAUCAGUAGCUGGUCUGAGAGGACGACCAGCCACACUGGAACUGAGACACGGUCCAGACUCCUACGGGAGGCAGCAGUGGGGAAUUUUGGACAAUGGGCGCAAGCCUGAUCCAGCCAUUCCGCGUGAGUGAAGAAGGCCUUCGGGUUGUAAAGCUCUUUCGCAAGGGAAGAAAACUUACAUUCUAAUAAAGUGUGAGGCUGACGGUACCUUGAUAAGAAGCACCGGCUAACUACGUGCCAGCAGCCGCGGUAAUACGUAGGGUGCGAGCGUUAAUCGGAAUUACUGGGCGUAAAGCGUGCGCAGGCGGUUUGGCAAGUCAGAUGUGAAAUCCCCGAGCUCAACUUGGGAACUGCGUUUGAAACUGCCAGACUAGAAUAUGUCAGAGGGGGUAGAAUUCCACGUGUAGCAGUGAAAUGCGUAGAGAUGUGGAGGAAUACCAAUGGCGAAGGCAGCCCCCUGGGAUAAUAUUGACGCUCAUGCACGAAAGCGUGGGGAGCAAACAGGAUUAGAUACCCUGGUAGUCCACGCCCUAAACGAUGUCUACUAGUUGUUGGUGGAGUAAAAUCCAUGAGUAACGCAGCUAACGCGUGAAGUAGACCGCCUGGGGAGUACGGUCGCAAGAGUAAAACUCAAAUGAAUUGACGG
rnacentral:rRNA from 1 species